ACCAAAUUGAUCAAAGAGUUCGGGACACACUGAAUAGAGUGCUGCAUGAUCAGUGUCUGCUAUUGGCAUAGCUUCACCUGAGUAGGCAUAAUUGUAGGCGUAGUCACAGUCGCUGCAGGUGCCAUACCAGACACAGUGGCCCUGUUUAUCUUUGCUGCUUUUGGCUACUGUUUUCGGUGACCAAAUGCUGUGGUGUUGAGCUUCAGAAUCAUGGAAUAACUGAGCAAUCCAUAAUGAAAGAGGAAAAACAAAUGCAUAAAAAGUUUGUACGAGAUCAUAACUUCUGCAUAUUACUGAAUCAGCAAAACUAGUGACACAUACAUUUGCCAACAUUUAACACCCAUUGCAAAACCUGAAAAUCAGUGAAUUUAAAUCCCUUUCGAACUUUCUAAUUUAUUGUACUGACAGCCUGCUUACAGUAAGAGCAGAUGGUUGGUCUGAUAAAUCCUUCUAGAAUGUAGACGUUGUAACCGCCUCAUUGUUUACUACUUCGUUGGGCAGUAUCAGGGCAGGGAUCUUAAACAACACGACACUCAUAUGGUGCCAUAAACCCUUUAGCUAAUGUUAGAAUUAUCGCGAGAGCAAACCAGUCCUGACAACAAAUUUAUGAAUUGGUGAAAUUAUUUCACUUACCUCAUUAUCGGCAGUUUCAGAGGUGACUUGGCCGUGCCAAAUCGAGAACAGGAACAACAUGAAGACGAAGGUCACGUCUCGCCUCAUUUUGUUGUUCCUGUUUCACU